CACGCAUGACACACUGCAUAUCAAUAAGCGGAGGAAAAGAAACUAACAAGGAUUCCCUUAGUAACGGCGAGUGAAGCGGGAAGAGCUCAAAUUUGAAAUCUUCAAGGUUUUACCUUGACGAAUUGUAGUUUAUAGAAGUGUUUUCUGUUAGUAGAGUUUGGUAAAAGUUCUUUGGAAUAGGACAUCAUAGAGGGUGAGAAUCCCGUAUUUGGUCAUUCUUUCUAGCUUUGUGAUACACUUUCAAAGAGUCGGAUUGUUUGGGAAUGCAGUCCAAAAUGGGUGGUAAAUUUCAUCUAAAGCUAAAUAUUGGCGAGAGACCGAUAGCGAACAAGUACCGUGAGGGAAAGAUGAAAAGAACUUUGAAAAGAGAGUUAAACAGUACGUGAAAUUGUCAAAAGGGAAGCGUUUGACACCAGUGUUGUUUUCUCGAAAAUCAAUUAAAAAUGGCUGGAUUUUGUGUUGUAUUGACCUUAAAAGCUUUCUUCACUUUUUUCAUGUCUUUUUUAAUGCACUUUUCGUUUAACAAGUCAACAUCAGUUUCUUUUGUUGUAAAAAGGUCAUUGGAAGGUGGCUUUCUUUUCGGAGAAAGUGUUUAUAGCCUUUGACUCCUGCAAUCGGAGAGACUGAGGUCUGCAGCGUAGAUCCUUCUUUGGAUUAGAUUCAUUUGUGCUAAGUUAUAGCUUUUUAUAGACAACUUGUUGACUAUAUUUAGUCUUGUAGCUUACUCGCUUAUGCAAUUUUACCUACGCUUAGGAUGUUGACUGAUAUGUAGUCGUA
rnacentral:rRNA from 1 species